AACGAACGCUGGCGGCAUGCCUAACACAUGCAAGUCGAACGAGACCUUCGGGUCUAGUGGCGCACGGGUGCGUAACGCGUGGGAACCUGCCCUUAGGUUCGGAAUAACUCCCCGAAAGGGGUGCUAAUACCGGAUAAUGUCUUCGGACCAAAGAUUUAUCGCCUUUGGAUGGGCCCGCGUUGGAUUAGCUGGUUGGUAGGGUAAAAGCCUACCACGGCGACGAUCCAUAGCUGGUCUGAGAGGAUGAUCAGCCACACUGGGACUGAGACACGGCCCAGACUCCUACGGGAAGCAGCAGUGGGGAAUAUUGGACAAUGGGCGAGAGCCUGAUCCAGCAAUGCCGCGUGAGUGAUGAAGGCCUUAGGGUUGUAAAGCUCUUUUACCCGGGAUGAUAAUGACAGUACCGGGAGAAUAAGCUCCGGCUAACUCCGUG
rnacentral:rRNA from 1 species